GCAGAAUCAAAUAUUUUUGAGGACCUUAACCAUAGAUUUAUUUAAAUAAGUAUCUCAGUUCAUGUAAAUGGAAGGGGAUACCACAAAAUGUAAUAUAAUGGUAACGAUUUGUUGCUACGUAUUUUUUUUACCAAAAUUGCAAAAAAUUCUGAAAAUAACUUGAAAAUUGUUGAAAAGAUAUUAUAGAUCUAGUAAAUUAAUACAUAAUAUAUGUAAAUCCAUCAUAAAUAUAUCAU
rnacentral:misc_RNA from 1 species